UACGGAGGGGGCUAGCGUUGUUCGGAAUUACUGGGCGUAAAGCGCGCGUAGGCGGCUUUGCAAGUUAGAGGUGAAAGUCCGAAGCUCAACUUCGGAAUUGCCUUUAAAACUGCGAGGCUAGAAUUGUGGAGAGGUAAGUGGAAUUCCGAGUGUAGAGGUGAAAUUCGUAGAUAUUCGGAAGAACACCAGUGGCGAAGGCGACUUACUGGACACAUAUUGACGCUGAGGCGCGAAAGCGUGGGGAGCAAACAGG
rnacentral:rRNA from 1 species